rnacentral:rRNA from 1 species
AUUGAACGCUGGCGGCAGGCCUAACACAUGCAAGUCGAGCGAGCGGCGGACGGGAGAGAAAUGUAUGGGGAUCUGCUCGAUAGAGGGGGAUAACUACUGGAAACGGUGGCUAAUACCGCAUAAUAUCGGAUGAACCCAUAUGGGUUUAGCUAGUAGGUGGGGUAAAGGACACCUAGGCGACGAUCGAGAGCUGGUCCGAGAGGAUGACCAGCCACACUGGGACUGAGACACGGCCCAGACUCCUACGGGAGGCAGCAGUGGGGAAUAUUGCACAAUGGGGGAAACCCUGACGCAGCCAUGCCGCGUGAAUGAAGAAGGCCUUCGGGUUGUAAAGUUCUUUCGGUAGCGAGGCGUUACCUACAGAAGAAGCACCGGCUAACUCCGUGCCAGCAGCCGCGGUAAUUC